rnacentral:rRNA from 1 species
GACAGAGGAGGCAAGCGUUGUUCGGAAUCACUGGGCUUAAAGCGGGUGUAGGCGGCCCGGAAAGUGUCGUGUGAAAUCCCACAGCUCAACUGUGGAACUGCAUGGCAAACUUCCGGGCUUGAGGUCGGUAGGGGUGCCUGGAACUCUUGGUGGAGCGGUGAAAUGCGUAGAUAUCAAGAGGAACGCCAGAAGCGAAAGCGGGGCACUGGGCCGAUUCUGACGCUGAGACCCGAAAGCGUGGGGAGCAAACAGG